rnacentral:lncRNA from 1 species
UCCCCACGGGGAGAGGAAACCUGUGAAAUGAACCCAGCCGCCGGGCCGGGGGGCCUCCGGUUCCUGGCUGAGGGGCGGCCGGAAGCCAGCUCUGCCUCCCGCGGCCUGUCCACCAGACCUCAGCCCGCGGUCAGAUGGAAAACCCCGCAUCAGAGCACCACGCACAGCACCAGGCGGCUCGCGCACAAGUCACAGCGGCGCGCGCAGGACGAUGCAAAGCAACAUGCGUCUGUGGCACCACGUUCAAACAAGGUGUAAAGUAAGAAGAAAAGUUCAUAUUCGCAGACACAGCGCCUCAGCCUGCCCUGAAUUCCCGGAAUGCACCUUUCAUCAGACCCCCUGACCUCCCGGGGUCACGCCUGCAGGUUGGGGGAGGAAUUUGCCCCCCCCCACCCGUGUCCACCCACAGGCCACAGAGCCAGGGGCUCGGGGUGGGGGGUGAGUGUGGGCAGGGGCCUGGGAGGGCCGAGCCCGUCCUCAGUGUUGUUAAACCGCCGGCCACCUCCCUCCCUGUGCGUCCUGGGGACACCGCCCCCCACGGCAACCCACUCCCCGUUGAGGGCUGAUCCUGCCCCCGGUCACGGCCUCUACCCUGUGACCUUGGGUACAGACAUCGAGAAGGACGUGGUGACUCUCCAACACGUCUUCCAAAACAGAAGCGACAGAGCUACUGCCAUCCUGGUUUCCGAGCAGCUGCUUGGUGAGCGGCAGACACCCCCCAACCCCCCAGCGCCGGCACCCACCCUGCCCUCUGUGCCGCAGCCCCGGCGGCCCCCGCCCCUGGCAACCAGCACACGACUCGCUGUCUGUCUGGACGCUUCGUGGGAAUGGGGCGCACAGGACGCCCCCAUGGCGGGCUUCUUUCGUCCUCGAGGUCCGUCUGCGUUGUGGCGUCUAUCAGAAGUUCAUUCCUUGUUGUGGCCAAAUAAUAAUAUACCUGUUGUGCGGCUGGACUGUUUUUGUUCAUCCAUUUCUCAACUGAUGGACAUUUAGGUUGUUCC